AGGAAAAGAAACCAACAGGGAUUGCCCCAGUAACGGCGAGUGAAGCGGCAACAGCUCAAAUUUGAAAUCUGGCCCCUUGGGGCCCGAGUUGUAAUUUGCAGAGGAUACUUUUGGCGAGGCGCCUUCCGAGUUCCCUGGAACGGGACGCCAUAGAGGGUGAGAGCCCCGUCUGGUUGGAUGCCGAGCCUCUGUAAAGUUCCUUCGACGAGUCGAGUAGUUUGGGAAUGCUGCUCUAAAUGGGAGGUAUAUGUCUUCUAAAGCUAAAUAUUGGCCAGAGACCGAUAGCGCACAAGUAGAGUGAUCGAAAGAUGAAAAGCACUUUGGAAAGAGGGUUAAAAAGCACGUGAAAUUGUUGAAAGGGAAGCGCUUGUGACCAGACGUGGGCCUGUCGGAUCAUCCAGCGUUCUCGCUGGUGCACUCCGGCGGGCUCAGGCCAGCAUCAGCUCGUCCCGGGGGACAAAGGCAGCGGGAAUGUGGCUCCUUCGGGAGUGUUAUAGCCCGCUGCGUAAUGCCCUGGGGCGGGCUGAGGUUCGCGCAUCUGCAUGGAUGCUGGCAUAAUGGUUAUCAGCGACC
rnacentral:rRNA from 1 species